rnacentral:rRNA from 1 species
AGUGAACGCUGGCGGUAGGCCUAACACAUGCAAGUCGAACGGCAGCACAGUAAGAGCUUGCUCUUACGGGUGGCGAGUGGCGGACGGGUGAGGAAUACAUCGGAAUCUACUUUUUCGUGGGGGAUAACGUAGGGAAACUUACGCUAAUACCGCAUACGACCUACGGGUGAAAGCAGGGGAUCUUCGGACCUUGCGCGAUUGAAUGAGCCGAUGUCGGAUUAGCUAGUUGGCGGGGUAAAGGCCCACCAAGGCGACGAUCCGUAGCUGGUCUGAGAGGAUGAUCAGCCACACUGGAACUGAGACACGGUCCAGACUCCUACGGGAGGCAGCAGUGGGGAAUAUUGGACAAUGGGCGUAAGCCUGAUCCAGCCAUACCGCGUGGGUGAAGAAGGCCUUCGGGUUGUAAAGCCCUUUUGUUGGGAAAGAAAAGCAGCAGGUUAAUACCCCGCUGUUCUGACGGUACCCAGAGAAUAAGCACCGGCUAACUUCGUG